AGUUCAUGAUUGCAAUAGAAUAAAAUCGACCAAGCCUGAAGUCAGCAGCCCCUUCAAUGAAUGCAGCAGUGUGACAGCCAACAAUCAAAAGUUACAAGAAGAUAUCGAGGAAAUGCAGAAGGCAAAAAACUGCGUAGGAGAUCAUUAAUACAAAAGUAUUAUAUAAACCAAACCUGAUGUUGCCAGCUCCUUCAAUGAAUGCAGCAGUGUGACAGCCAGCAAUCAAAAGUAACAAGAUAUCGAGGAAAUGCAGAAGGCAAAAAACUGCAUAGGAGAUCAUUAAUACAAUAGUAUUAUGUAAACCAAGCCUGAUGUUGGCCGCUCAUUCAAAGAAUGCAGCAGUGUGACAGCCAGCAAUCAAAAGUAACAAGAUGUCGAGGAAAUGCAGAGUGUAAUAAACUGUGUAGAAGAUUAUGAUUGCAAUAGAAUAAAAUCGACCAAGCCUGAAGUCCUUCAAUGCACGCAGCAGUGUGACAGCCAGCAAUCAAAAGUUACAAGAUAUCGAGGAAAUGCAGAAGGCAAAGAACUGCGUAGGAGAUUAUUAAUACAAUAGUAUUAUAUCAACCAAGCCUGAUGUCGGUAGCUUCUUCAAUGAAUGCAGCAGUGUGACAGCCAGCAAUCAAUAGUGACAAGAAUUUAGGAAAUACAGAAGGCAAAGAAGCAGAUGUCAUCAAAGAAGAUCUUUGUUCCUGCAAUGUUUUCGCAGACGAUACAUCCAACAGAGCGAAGUGGAAGGAAAAGACUCGGAAAAAAGACCCCACCACCAUAUGGGAACAAUGCAAGGGAGAGAGAGAGAAUAUAAUGUUAUAUUUUUAUUUUUUGAUAAC